rnacentral:lncRNA from 10 species
AAAAAAAGAAAUAUUUGAUAAAAUUUAAUAUCCACUGAUGAUAAAAAUCCUUAGCAAACUAGAAAUGGGAGCAAUUGUUCUUAUUCUGGAAAUAAGAUAUAAAAUAACAUAUAGUAGAUUGCACUUCUUUGCCCCUCCUGUUUCACACCUUUUGCUAUAUAAUUUUGCAAUGCCCUCAAUCAUGGGCAAAGUUACCCUUGACUCUGGACUCAGGCAUAUGACUUGCUUUGGCCAGUGGGAUAUUGGCAUAUGUGAUGCAAGUAAAAAUUUGAAAUGAGCUUGCCUACUGGGGUUUGCUUUUUUGUUCUUCUACUCUUUACCAUGAAAAGAACCUGCCUAAGCUGCUCCUUCUGGUUCCAGGAAGAAGAUAUGAAAUGCGUAGAACAUGAGUUCUCCAGCUAAGGUACUCAGUCAAGCCUAGCUGAGAACAGAGCUCCUAGCUGAGCUGCAGAUGCAUGCAUGAGCUCAGCCAAGACCAGCAGAGUGAUCUAGCUAAGCAUAGCCCAGAUCACCUGAUUGCCACAUAUGUGUAAGACAUAAGUAUCUAUUGUUAUAUAUCACUGGCUUUGUGGUUCUUUUGUUAUCCAACAAAAGCUAAUUGAUACAGGUUAUCUACAAAAAUACCUCAGCAAGUAUCAACUUAAUGAUGAAAUGCUAAAAGCUUUCCUCUGAAACUGGAAACUUGCUAAGUUUGCCUGCUACCACUUCUAUUUGACCUUGAAUGGAUACCUUAGCCAAUGCAAUAAGGCAAGAAAAAGAAAUAACAGAAAUAAGGAUAAAAAAAGAAAGAAAGCUGUCAUUUAUGUACAUAGCAAAUCCUAAAGAACCUUCAGAUCAAGUUUUGGAAUUUUAUCUAGGUCACUGAAUUCAAAUCAACACACAUAAACCAAUUGUAUGUUCUAUAUACCAGUAACAAAAAUAAUUGUAAACUGAAAUGUUUAAAUAUAACAUCUGGCUGGGCGUGGUGGCUCAUGCCUAUAAUCCCAGCGCUUUGGGAGGCCAAGGCGGGCAGAUCAUGAGGUCAGGAGAUCGAAACCAUCCUGGCUAACACAGUCAAACCCCGUCUCUACUAAAAAUACAAAAAAUUAGCCAGGCGUGGUGGUGGACACCUGUAGUCCCAGCUACUCGGGAGGCUGAGGUAGGAGGAUCACUUAACGCCAGGAGUUCAAGGCUGUAAUGCAGUAUAAGCGUGCCUGAGGAUGGCCACUGCACUCCAGCCCGGGCAACCUCACCUCUGUUUGUUUUUUCAAUCAAAUAUCUAGGAAUAAAACAAAUGAAAGAUUUUCAACAUCUCCAUAUAGAAGACUAUUAUGAAAAACUAAAGAUUUUUUUAAAAGAGAGAGAAAGCCAAAUGAUGCUUAUUUGACUCUGGUGCACUUCAGUGUAAGGAUGAUUUAUAAUCUGUCACUCAUGAUUGAAGGCCUUGGAAAAAGAAAAAAAAAACAGGAGUUACAUCAUAUUCAUGAUUGGAAGACUCCAUAUGUCAAUAUUCGAUUGUGAAUUGUAAAUAUGUCAAUUGUCCCCAAAUUUAUCUCCUUGGUACAUUCUGAAAAUUCUCGACAGAUUUUUUUUUUUUUUUUUUCUUUUUGAGACGGAGUUUUGCUCUUGUUGCCCAGGCUAGAGUGCAAUAGCGCGAUCUCGGCUCACCACAACCUCCCCCUCCCAGGUUCAAGCAAUUCUCCUACCUCAGCCUCCCAAGUAGCUGGGAUUACAGGCAUGCACCACCAUGCCCGGCUAAUUUUAUAUUUUUAGUAGAGACAGGGUUUCUCCAUGUUAAAGCAAGAAUAGUUAAAGCAAUCUUGGAGAAGACAAAAAUGGGAGGAUUUUUUUCACAGAAAAAUUAAACCAAUAUAAUUAAGACUGUGAUUUUGGCUCAAAAAUAAACAAACCAAAGGAACAGAACUGAGGGCCUAGAAACAGACUGACACAUUUAUGGAUGCUUAAUUUAUGACAAACGUGGUGCCCUUGAAUGGUCUUUUUAAUAAAUCCUUCUGGAACGGUUGAAUAUCUAUGGAAGGAAGGAAGAAUCUUGACCCUUAUCUUACUGUAUACAUAAAAAAUCAACUCCAAUUGAAUUAUAUGUAAAUCUAAAUGUGAAAACUAAAACAAUAAAGAUUCUAGAGGAUAUCACAAGAGAAUAUCUCUAAGAUCUUGGGGGUAGGAAAAGAUUUAUUAAACAGGACACAAAAACCACUAAUUACAAAGGAAGUAACUGAUACAUAGACCAGGGAUUGGCAAACUACAGCCCUCAGGUCAAAUCUGGCCACCUGUUUUUGUUAUCCCAGCACUUUGGGCAGCUGAGGAGGGCAGGUCAGUUGAGCCCAGGAGUUUGAGACCAGCCUGGGCAAUGUGGAGAACUCUUGCCCUUCAAAAAAUACAAAAAUUAUCAGGGUAUGGUGGCACAUGCCUGUAGGCCCAGCUACCCAGGAGGCUGAGGUGGGAUGGGAGCCUCAGCCUGGGAGGUUGAGGCUGUAGUGAGCCAUGACUGGGCCACUGCACUCCAGCCUGGGCAAUGGAGUGAGACCCUGUCUCAAAAAAAAAAAAAAAAAAAACUUGAUGAUGAAGUAUGGGAACAUGGAAGAGUAUGAUAUUAUACAAAGUAAAGGAAGCAGUGGCAUGCAUGCUAUAAUAACAACUAUGGAAAAUAUGAGUGCAUCAGGCCAAGGACCAAAGGGUGUUUUGCAAAAAAUAAAAAAUAGUUGUCUAGGGUAGCAAGUUUUCUCAAAAUGAUUCCCAAAAUUGUUGCAUAGUCUUUCUAUGAAUGAUAAACUAAGAAAGAAGGGAAUGACUUUCUUUUCUUUGAGAAAUCCUAUUUUUUCCAAAAAUGUAUUACAGGUUGUUAAACGCUACUCGGCUGAGUUUCUUAAAAGAUUAGCCUGCCCCAUAAGGGUUGUGAUGGCAGGAAUUCUGGCUUCUAUUUCUAGCCCUGUUGACAGACUGAUGAUGAAACUCAUGCAUGCCCUUUAAGCUUUCCCCAUCUUUGAGGCUGGGAGAAAUUCCACUUGCUGCUGCCAUUUAGCGCUACAAUGUUUUAAAAAUUAAUGAGGUGCAUUUACAGCCCAGGAUGUUCAGGUGAUUGGCUUUCCUUGAGAAAUCGGUGUUGUCUGUGAAGAAGAUAAACAGUAGGAGUGGUUGGGUUUGGUGGCUCAUGCCUAUAAUUCCAGCACUUUGGUAGUCCAAGGCAGGUGGAUCACCUGGGGUCAGGAGUUGGAGACCAGCCUGGCCAACAUGGGGGAAUCCCCGUCUCUACUAGAAAUACAAAAAUUAGCUGGGUGUAGUGGCAGGCUCCUCUAGUCUCAACUACUGAGGAGGCUGAGGCACAAGAAUCUCUUGAACCCAGGAGGCAGGGGUGGCAGCGAGCCAAGAUCACGGCACUGCACUUCAGCCUGGGUAACAGAGCAAGACUCUGUCUCAAAACAAAAUCAAAAACAAAAACAAAAAACAGUAGGAGUGCUGUUAUGUUGUCAGACAUUGAAUUCCUGCAACCAACAUUUG